UAACGCGUAGGUAACCUGCCUGGUAGCGGGGGGUAACUAUUGGAAACGAUAGCUAAUACCGCAUGACAACAGUUAUUGCAUGAUAACUGUUUAAAAGGGGCAAUUGCUCCACUACCAGAUGGACCUGCGUUGUAUUAGCUAGUUGGUGAGGUAACGGCUCACCAAGGCGACGAUACAUAGCCGACCUGAGAGGGUGAUCGGCCACACUGGGACUGAGACACGGCCCAG
rnacentral:rRNA from 1 species